rnacentral:pre_miRNA from 9 species
UCUCGAUAGCGUAAAAGUUAACUCAUAUUUGUAUGGAGUUGGAACGUUUGCCGAUAGGGGCGCUGUUCCAAUUGCAUACAAAUUUGAGUUAACUUUUACGAUAUCGC